rnacentral:rRNA from 1 species
AUGUUGCAAAUUCAACAAGGUCAAGAGGUAGAUGUUGCUGAUCAGAGAAAAGGAAAUUCUGGAAGAAAGCUUAAGGACAUUAACCUAGAAAAACUAACAAUCCCAUUAAACAGGAGGUCUACUAUUAGAUCACUAGCCUGGCAACUGGGGUGUAGCCCUACCACACUUCAUAGAAAGUUUAUGCUGAAUUUGAUUAGGAGGCAUACAAACUGUGUGAAGCCGGCUUUAAAGGAAAAGAAUAAGAUGGAUAGGAUGAAAUUUUGUUUGUCGAUUCUUGAUGAGGCAACAACAGCAACUGCGAGGCCUAAGUUCAAGACUAUGCAUAAUGUUGUCCAUAUUGACGAAAAGUGGUUUAACAUGACAAAGAAGAAUAUAACAUAUUAUCUGCUGGAUGGGGAGGAAGAGCCUACGAGGCCUAUACACGGCAACUGUAUUGGCAAGGUGAUAUUCUGA